rnacentral:rRNA from 1 species
GCAGAUCCAUUUUCUGCCACCGAAUACAUUAGCAUGGGAUAAUGGAAUAGGACCCUGUCCUCCUAUUUUCAGUUGGUUUUGGCAGCGCGAGGACUAGGGUAAUGAUUAAUAGGGAUAGUUGGGGGCAUUAAUAUUUAAUUGUCAGAGGUGAAAUUCUUGGAUUUAUGAAAGAUUAACUUCUGCGAAAGCAUCUGCCAAGGAUGUUUUCAUUAAUCAAGAACGAAAGUUAGGGGAUCGAAGACGAUCAGAUACCGUCGUAGUCUUAACCAUAAACGAUGCCGACCAGCGAUUAGGAGACGUUGAAUACAAAACACCACCAUCGGCGCGGUCGUCCUUGGCGUCUCGGUUUCUGGCGGGGCCCGGGGGCGGGUUAGGCUUGUGCCGCCGGUGAAUGACUCCGCUUCCACCU